GGCUGGGAACUGGGCUAGCGGCCACCCAGGUCCCGCCAGGGAUCGGGAGCAGAGGGCGGAGCUCCUCCCUCUCUGCUCGGCGCUCGGCUGUGCCGCCUGCCCCGGCUCGGUGCUCGGUGCUCGGCGGGGUGGCCUGGGUUGGCGCGGUGCGGUGCGGCCUGACAGCGGAGCGGGACCGGAACCGGAGCAGAACCGGAGCGGAGCGUCGGGAUGGUGAAGCUGACGGCGGAGCUGAUCGAGCAGGCAGCACAAUACACCAACGCCGUUCGCGACCGAGAACUCGACCUGCGAGGCUAUAAAAUUCCCAGUUUAUUGAGAACCUGGGUGCCCACGCUAGACCAGUUUGAUGCAAUUGAUUUCUCUGACAAAUGAGAUCCGUAAGCCUGGAUGGGUUUCCCUCUGCUGAGGAGGCUUGAAAACUCUUCUGAUGAAUAAACAACAGGAUUUGUCGGAUUGGUGAGGAGCCUGGAACAGGCUCUGCCCAGCCUGACAGAGCUCGUCCUCACCAACAACAACAUUGCUGAACUGGGUGAACUGGAUCCGCUGGCAAACGAUUAAAUCACUGACUUACCUGAGCAUUUAAGGAAUCCUGUAACAAUAAGAAGCAUUACAGAUUAUAUGUAAUCCACAAAGUUCCCAGGUCAGAGUGCUGGAUUUUCAAAAAGUGAAACCUC